GCGGGGAUAGUUCAAUUGAGAGAGCAUCAUACUAAAGAUCUGAAGGUCGCAUGUUUGAUCCACACUUACCGCA
rnacentral:tRNA from 1 species